rnacentral:rRNA from 1 species
GGGUCAGUAGGUUGGUCGUGCCACCGGUACGUACUGGUCUCACUGAUUCCUCCUUCCUGAAGAACCGUAAUGCCAUUAAUUUGGUGUUGCGGGGAAUCAGGACUGUUACUUUGAAAAAAUUAGAGUGUUUAAAGCAAGCUAACGCUUGAAUACAUUAGCAUGGAAUAAUGAAAUAGGACGAUCGAUCCUAUUUUGUUGGUUUCUAGGAUUGACUUA